rnacentral:rRNA from 1 species
AACGAACGCUGGCGGCAGGCCUAACACAUGCAAGUCGAGCGCCCUCUCGGGGGAGCGGCGGUCGGGUGAGUAACGCGUGGGAAUAUGCCCUUCUCUACGGAAUAGCCUCGGGAAACGGAGAGUAAUACCGGAUACGCCCUGCGGGGGCAAGAUUUAUCGGGGAAGGAUUAGCCCGCGUCGGAUUAGGUAGUUGGUGGGGUAAUGGCCUACCAAGCCGACGAUCCAAAGCUGGUUUUAGGGGAUGAUCCGCCACCCUGGGACUGGGACCCGGCCCGGACUCCGACGGGAGGCCGCAGGGGGGAUUCUUCGACACCGGGUGCAUCAAUGAUCUCGCCAGGCCGUGUGGGUGAUGAAGGCCUUAGGGUGGUAAAGCUCUUUCAGCCGGGACGAUAAGGCCGGUACCAGCAGAAGAAGCCCCGGCUACCUCCGG